UUGUGGCCUGAGAAAAUGUUACCUACUCUCAGUAGAACACAGGCUGUAGAAACUGGAGGAAAUGUCUCCAAGCUUCUGGAUCUGGCUGGAAGAAUGACUUUACUAUCUGAAAGAGAAACUGCUAUAGGGAAGGAGAAUAAGAGCCAGUACUGAACAUGUAGCAUGUGUUGGGCAUUCUGCAUAUCGUGUCAUUUGGUCCCUCUAAUAGCCCUGCAGAGAGCCUCCGCUUUGCCUGAGAAAACUGAUGAAUGUGACAGUGUGAUAAAGAUAAGAGUUCUCAGCAAGCUGUUAUUUACUGUCAAGAAAAAGAAUUAUACCAAGGAAGAUGACCAGUAUAUUCUUCUAUAUCACAAAUUGUCCUUUCAAUGUUGUUUUCUUAGAGGAGUGAAAGUAAUUUUAUUUGUUGCUGAGUUUAUGGUCAAUUAUUUUCAGGUAACGUGUUUUUGCUCAAAAUAUUUUCUGAUCUACCUGACUACAACUCUUAAAAUGUCAUGCAUCAAGUGUUCUGCCUAAAAUAAGAUUUACUGUUACCGCUGAUGGUCUCACAGACAUCCCUCCCAAACCAUGGCUAGUAUCUACAAUAGAAAGCAAAUACGAAUAAUUUUUAACUCACAACUUAAUUCUAAUUUAAUUGAUUUUUAGUUAGAAUUUUAAGCUUUUGUUUCCAAUUAAGAAAAAGAUGUGGUCAAUGAUUUUAUUCUGUUUUUAUUAAAAAUGAGAAUGAAAAAGGGGACAGGUAUUUUCACUAGAUUCCAGUGCAUAAAUUUGAGCAAGAUCCCUUACUAGCAGUUUUGCCUUCCAUAAGGCAUGAAGUGUCCCCAUAAAGGUGUCGGGCUGCUCCAACGCCCAAGCCACAGACCAUUGUACAUUUCUGGCCCUAGGGAGAAGUGAGGCCUCUUCAAAUGUCGAUUAAAUUUUAAGAUCUUGGGGGGACUGUCAGAAGCUCAUGCUAAACCUUUGCCCCACCAGACUGCAGGUGGAGAUGUGGUGCCACCCAGUACAAAUGAUGACAAAAGUCAUUUCCAACUGUGAUGGUCCACAGUAUAACAAUAAGAGCUGCACAGCUCUUCUUAGCAUUUCCUCCUAUGAAGAACUCCACACACUUGAAUUUGCCAUACAGUGUUCUUGACACAUGCGAAGACACACCUUGUGUCUCUUGAGCAGGUGCCUUCAUCUCCCAAACCCCAGUUUCCUCCUCUGAAAUGGUUUAUAACUCGUACAACCUCAAAACAUUAAGGGGAGAGGGUGAAAAAUCAAUGCCGCUAAAGAAACUAAGGUUCCUCUCUCUGAAGGCAAAGGUAUGCCUGGCAGUCACUUACACUCUGUCUCAAAAAAUUGAGAACUUUCUUUAAGCAUGUAUCUACCAUAUCCAGUCAUUCUACUCCUAGCUGUUUACUCAAGAAAAAUAAAAAUGUGUGUCCACACA
rnacentral:lncRNA from 1 species